UGUUUGAGUUGAACUCAUUCAGUGUUUCACACAAUCCUUUAAACCCUUGUUUGUCUGUCAGCCUGUUCUUGACGAUUUCUUUCGAGCAGCAGUCUCUCUCUCUUUCUAGCUCUCAGCAUGGGGCGACACAUUGUUCUACUUCAUCAGACGGCAGACAGAAAAGUUUAAAAGACUUUGGCCCACUCGAAAUCAGCUGGAGCUGUGAAUGGAGCUGUGGAGUUCAGAUCAAGGGAUGUGUUUUUGGCUUCAGGGGAGCCCAGAACGAGCCUGUCUGAUCUUGUCUGGAGCGCUGCCUGGCAUGGAAUGGAAAAUACCCACCUCCUGCAUGAAAAUCAAGGAGAGCGAGAGGUGGAAAAUGGUUAAGGAAUGGAGCACAACAGUGACUUUGACAAAGUAUGUAUGCAUGUAUUUAUUUGUAUAUUACUUUAUGUUUAUAUUUUUAUUUAGAUGUUGUUGUUGAUGAUGAUUAACAAUAUAUAAGCAUCUUCCAACAUUCAUUCAUCUAUCUGCCUUCAUCAUAAAAAGAUGCUGUUUAUGUAAGAUGCUAUUAUACUGCUGCAGCUCAUGACAAGGUAAUUGAAGGGCCGAUAUCAGAUAUUAACAUGACCUAUGACUGAUAUAAAGAGAAAUAUCACUGUGCGACUAAAGUCAAACCUUAAUCAGCUGCUGACACUCCUGUAUAUGACCCAAAG
ensembl:lncRNA